rnacentral:rRNA from 1 species
UACGUAGGGGGGCAAGCGUUGUCCGGAAUCAUUGGGCGUAAAGAGCGUGUAGGCGGCCCGGUAAGUCCGCCGUGAAAGUCAAGGGCUCAACCCUUGGAUGCCGGUGGAUACUGCAGGGCUAGAGUCCGGAAGAGGCGAGUGGAAUUCCUGGUGUAGCGGUGAAAUGCGCAGAUAUCAGGAGGAACACCGAUGGCGAAGGCAGCUCGCUGGGACGGUACUGACGCUGAGGCGCGAAAGCGUGGGGAGCAAACAGG